UACAGAGGUCUCAAGCGUUGUUCGGAUUCAUUGGGCGUAAAGGGUGCGUAGGUGGCGCCGUAAGUCGGGUGUGAAAUUUCGGAGCUUAACUCCGAAACUGCAUUCGAUACUGCGGUGCUUUGAGGACUGGAGAGGAGACUGGAAUUCAUGGUGUAGCAGUGAAAUGCGUAGAGAUCAUGAGGAAGACCAGUGGCGAAGGCGGGUCUCUGGACAAUACCUGACACUGAGGCACGAAAGCCAAGGGAGCAAACAGG
rnacentral:rRNA from 1 species